ACAUCAUGUUGAAAUGCCAGUUUCCGUAGGAUCACCAAAGUUAAGCAAUAUUGAGCCUGUUCAGUAUUCAAAUUGGUGACCACUUGGGAAUACCAAAUGCUGUAAG